rnacentral:rRNA from 1 species
UACGUAGGGGGCAAGCGUUGUCCGGAAUUAUUGGGCGUAAAGAGCGUGUAGGCGGUCCGGUAAGUCAGCUGUGAAAGUCAAGGGCUCAACCCUUGAAUGCCGGUUGAUACUGUCGGGCUAGAGUCCGGAAGAGGCGAGUGGAAUCCCCGGUGUAGCGGUGAAAUGCGCAGAUAUCGGGAGGAACACCAAUGGCGAAGGCAGCUCGCUGGGACGGUACUGACGCUGAGACGCGAAAGCGUGGGGAGGCAAACAGG